ACGGCGAGUGAAGCGGCAAAAGCUCAAAUUUUAAAGCUGGCAUCUUCGGUGCCCGCGUUGUAAUUUUGUGAGGCAUCUCCGGGUAGGGCGCCGGCCUAAGUUCCUUGGAACAGGACGUCACAGAGGGUGAGAAUCCCGUGCUUGGCUGGCUGUCCCCGCCCACGUGAGGUGUCUUCGACGAGUCGAGUUGUUUGGGAAUGCAGCUCAAAAUGGGUGGUAAAUUUCAUCUAAAGCUAAAUAUUGGUGGGAGACCGAUAGCGCACAAGUAGAGUGAUCGAAAGAUGAAAAGCACUUUGAAAAUAGAGUUAAAAAGUACGUGAAAUUGUUGAAAGGGAAGCGCUUGAGACCAGACUUCGGUAGGGGGUGAUCAGCCGUCCUUCUGGGCGGUGCACUUGCCCCCCUCCGGGCCAGCAUCGGUUGAGGCGGCGGGAUAAAGGUCCCGGGAAUGUGGCUCCCUCACGGGAGUGUUAUAGCCCGGGUGAAUGCCGCCAGCCUCGACCGAGGACCGCGCCCGCAAGGGCUAGGAUGCUUG
rnacentral:rRNA from 1 species